rnacentral:rRNA from 1 species
UGGGGAAUAUUGCACAAUGGGCGCAAGCCUGAUGCAGCCAUGCCGCGUGUAUGAAGAAGGCCUUCGGGUUGUAAAGUACUUUCAGCGGGGAGGAAGGGAGUAAAGUUAAUACCUUUGCUCAUUGACGUUACCCGCAGAAGAAGCACCGGCUAACUCCGUGCCAGCAGCCGCGGUAAUACGGAAGGUGCAAGCGUUAAUCGGAAUUACUGGGCGUAAAGCGCACGCAGGCGGUUUGUUAAGUCAGAUGUGAAAUCCCCGGGCUCAACCUGGGAACUGCAUCUGAUACUGGCAAGCUUGAGUCUCGUAGAGGGGGGUAGAAUUCCAGGUGUAGCGGUGAAAUGCGUAGAGAUCUGGAGGAAUACCGGUGGCGAAGGCGGCCCCCUGGACGAAGACUGACGCUCAGGUGCGAAAGCGUGGGGAGCAAACAGG